rnacentral:rRNA from 1 species
CUUCCGUUAAUUGAUUAUGACGUACUUGUACUGAUUGAGAUUUUAACACGAAGUGAGUGGCGAACGGGUGAGUAACACGUGGGUAACCUGCCCAGAAGUAGGGGAUAACACCUGGAAACAGAUGCUAAUACCGUAUAACAGAGAAAACCGCAUGGUUUUCUUUUAAAAGAUGGCUCUGCUAUCACUUCUGGAUGGACCCGCGGCGUAUUAGCUAGUUGGUGAGGUAAAGGCUCACCAAGGCAGUGAUACGUAGCCGACCUGAGAGGGUAAUCGGCCACAUUGGGACUGAGACACGGCCCAGACUCCUACGGGAGGCAGCAGUAGGGAAUCUUCCACAAUGGACGCAAGUCUGAUGGAGCAACGCCGCGUGAGUGAAGAAGGGUUUCGGCUCGUAAAGCUCUGUUGUUAAAGAAGAACGUGGGUAAGAGUAACUGUUUACCCAGUGACGGUAUUUAACCAGAAAGCCACGGCUAACUACGUGCCAGCAGCCGCGGUAAUACGUAGGUGGCAAGCGUUAUCCGGAUUUAUUGGGCGUAAAGCGAGCGCAGGCGGUCUUUUAAGUCUAAUGUGAAAGCCUUCGGCUCAACCGAAGAAGUGCAUUGGAAACUGGGAGACUUGAGUGCAGAAGAGGACAGUGGAACUCCAUGUGUAGCGGUGAAAUGCGUAGAUAUAUGGAAGAACACCAGUGGCGAAGGCGGCUGUCUGGUCUGCAACUGACGCUGAGGCUCGAAAGCAUGGGUAGCGAACAGGAUUAGAUACCCUGGUAGUCCAUGCCGUAAACGAUGAUUACUAAGUGUUGGAGGGUUUCCGCCCUUCAGUGCUGCAGCUAACGCAUUAAGUAAUCCGCCUGGGGAGUACGACCGCAAGGUUGAAACUCAAAAGAAUUGACGGGGGCCCGCACAAGCGGUGGAGCAUGUGGUUUAAUUCGAAGCUACGCGAAGAACCUUACCAGGUCUUGACAUCUUCUGACAGUCUAAGAGAUUAGAGG